UUCCUGCUCCUCUCUGACCGGUUUCUCUGUGGCGGAAACACCCAGAGAUGAGCCUCUGGCCGAACUGAAGGCUGUUAUGAAUUCAAGUCUUUUCAAGCCGGGAGUGGGGAAUAAAGACCACAGAGAUGCAGAUUUUGUGAUUUCUUUCUUUCUCUCCUCUUUCCUUCCUCCCCCUCCCUUUCUUCUUCCUCUUUUUUUUCCCCCUUUUAACAAUGAUGCCUCCAGGUGAUGAGUAUUUCUGCUCCUACACAGUCUCGUAUUGCUUCCAGGUUUCCCGUUGACCGAGGGGUCCCUCACCAGCCCAGAUCCAGGACGUCUGAGGACGCGGGCCAGCCCUCCCACCAGCCCCGGUCUCGGCGGCCACCGUCAUCAGCUGGUGCUGGCAGUGUGCCCUCGCUCGGGUCUGCGCUGUUCCAGAGGAUUUGAGAAAGCACGGCCUUGUCGCUCUGCCAAAGAGACCUGAUCCCAUGAAACCGAAGGACCAAAUCAGCCUGAUUCUGAGAAGCACCCGGGCGGAGGAAACUGGAAAUCAGGUGCCGGGGAACUCGCCGCCGGUGACUGGUGCCUUUACUGAGAGUCAUUUUGCAGAACUUACUCUUUGGGGAUUGAGGCUGGAAUAAGUCUAAACUACUUUGUCUUGACUGCUGGAAAACGGCUUCUGGCCUGGAUGAGAGCAGCGGUCCCUGUAGGUCUCACACGGGGCGCCUGUGACGGGUGAGCCCCCGGGGUCUGCUCUGCAGCCGAGGUCCCAAGAAGCCAGGAACCCGGCAGCGCUGGCCUCUGACAUGCCUGGCGGGACCUGGUGGAGCAGGCGCCUGGCCCCGGAUCUCCCGCAGCUGGGCCCAGCGUGCUCCCCACGCGACUGCCGAGUUAGAACUUUUUCACCCCUAGUGAUGGCUCUGGAGCCUUCGGUUCAAAAUGCUAAACAGAGACACUGUCUCUGCGUCUGCGGGACCCAGCGGGGGACUCUCAGAACCCAGACUCCUGCACACCAAGACAGGACUUCGGGUAGAAAACAUUAAAUUCCGAGGCUGAGACCCAGGCUGCCCCAGCCGUGAGCACGCUGCCACCCCGGGGGGACUCGGGCAGGGUCCUCCCGGCUCAGAGGUGGGUCCUGCCUUUUCUGAGAGUGUGAACGGCGUUCCGGGCGCCCUGCUAGGCCAGGGUGCCUGGCUUGUCUCCUGGAGCAGGUGCUGAUGGUGCAGGUAGACGGCAAAGAACCCCUCGAGCUGCCGAGUCUGGGUGGCACGCUGACUUCUCCAGCGGAUGCACGACCUCCUGAGGCAAACAGCGGAUUCUACCAGAGGUGCUGCGAGGCUGGGGGCUCUCUCUCCCCAAAGCCUGAGCACGGCUCCCAGCGCUGGGCUGGGAGGGGCGGAGCUCGGCUCAUCAGGGGUGGACGCCCCCCACUCACCCGCAGGGUCUCCCCUGGGCCCCGCCCUGCUGGCAGCCCUCCUUGAACUCUCACCUGGGGCAGGAGGUGGCCUUUG